rnacentral:rRNA from 1 species
GACGAACGCUGGCGGCGUGCUUAACACAUGCAAGUCGAACGGAAAGGCCCUGCUUUUGUGGGGUGCUCGAGUGGCGAACGGGUGAGUAACACGUGAGUAACCUGCCCUUGACUUUGGGAUAACUUCAGGAAACUGGGGCUAAUACCGGAUAGGAGCUCCUGCUGCAUGGUGGGGGUUGGAAAUUUUCGGCGGUUGGGGAUGGACUGGCGGCUUAUCGGCUUGUUGGUGGGGUAGUGGCUUACCAAGGCUUUGACGGGUCGCCGGCCUGAGAGGGUGAACGGCCACAUUGGGACUGAGAGACGGCGCAGACUCCUACGGGAGGCAGCAGGGGGGAAUAUUGCACAAUGAGCGGAAGCCUGAUGAAGCAACGCCGCGUGCGGGAUGACGGCCUUCGGGGUGUAAACCGCUUUCGCCUGUGACGAAGCGUGAGUGACGGUAAUGAGUAAAGAAGCACCGGCUAACUACGUG